GGCAUAAAUGAAAGAUUCUUCUAAGAAGUUCUGUUACUAUUGGAAAAGAAUUGUGGGGAAAUUAACAAGAUGAACCCAGUCAGACUUUCUUGCCCUAUGUUUUCACUCCUAGAAGGGGACGACAGAGGAUGAGAUCGCUGGAUGGCAUCACUGACUUGAUGGACGUGAGUCUGGGUGAACUCUGGGAGUUGGUGUUGCACAGGGAGGCCUGGCGUGCUGCGAUUCAUGGGAUUGCAGGGUCGGACACAACUGAGCAACUGAACUGAAUUGAACUGAACCCCGUGUUCUGUAAACAAUGACUUUACACGUUUAUGUAACAGCUGAGAUCACUCACAGAACUGCGCAUGCAUGUUACGAGGUACUCACUCAGUCACGGGCUACUUUGUGCUGUACACCUGUUUGAGCUUCACUAUGAAAGCCCUGGCUGCUGCUGCAUUGGGGCUACACUGGAGCGACAUCAUGAUUACGUUAUAUGAGUUUUAGCUAUGGCUCCGUUAUGGUUACGUUGUGGCUGCGGCUACAGCCACUGCGUCAGCCAGGAUAGAGGCUGUGUUACCGCUUCUGUGCCAGCCAGGAGAGAAUAAACAUGUCUGUAGUUCCUACAGGACCUUGAGUCUUCUUCCAGCAUCUUAACUCGUGCCUUGCCUGACAUGAGAUCAGCAAACAGUGCCCACAGUGUGAACAGCAAGACAAUUGGCAUCACGAACAGGAUCAGCAAUACAAGAACAAAUGAGACUCAGGGUCUUCAUGGAGUUAUGUUGAAAGGCCUUACCUCUACGCUCUGCUGCUGCUGCUUCUAAGUUGCUUCAGUCGCGUCCGACUCUGUGUGACCCCAUAGACGGCAGCCCACCAGGCUCCCCCAUCCCUGGGAUUCUCCAGGCAGGAACACUGGAGUGGGUUGCCGUUUCCUUCUCCAAUGAAUGAAAGUGAAAAGUGAAAGUGAAGUUGUUCAGUCAUGUCCGACUCCCAGCUACCCUAUGGACUACAGCCUACCAGGUUCCUCCGUCCAUGGGAUUUUCCAGGUAAGAGUACUGGAGUGAUGGGCUCCUUUUCCUCUCAUGGUGAGUUUGCAGAUCUCACACAGAGGCUGGCAAUUCUGGACGUGGACUAUAAAACCAGAUUUGUUUAACUAUCACCUUCUGUCCUAAUGUCAGUUCUUUAUGGGAUUAGGUAAAUAAAAUGACAGCAAUAAAUCA
ensembl:lncRNA